UUUUUAAAAAAAAAGUUGUUUCUAUUGUCACAAGUUUUAUUUGGGUUUAUAAGAAUCAUAGAAUAAGUAAAAAUCAUUUAUGCAAAUCCAAGAUGAAAGGAGGAUUAGUUUUACC